rnacentral:rRNA from 1 species
UGGGGAAUAUUGCACAAUGGGGGAAACCCCGAUGCAGCGACGCCGCGUGAACGAAGAAGGUAUUCGUAUCGUAAAGUUCUGUCCUAUGGGAAGAUAAUGACAGUACCAUAGAAGAAAGCUCCGGCUAAAUACGUGCCAGCAGCCGCGGUAAUACGUAUGGAGCGAGCGUUGUCCGGAAUUAUUGGGCGUAAAGGGUACGCAGGCGGUUUAAUAAGUCGAAUGUUAAAGAUCGGGGCUCAACCCCGCAAAGCAUUGGAAACUGAUAAACUUGAGUAGUGGAGAGGAAAGUGGAAUUCCUAGUGUAGUGGUGAAAUACGUAGAUAUUAGGAGGAAUACCAGUAGCGAAGGCGACUUUCUGGACACAAACUGACGCUGAGGUACGAAAGCGUGGGGAGCAAACAGG